GAUGAACGCUGGCGGCGUGCCUAAUACAUGCAAGUCGAGCGAACAGAUAAGGAGCUUGCUCCUUUGAAGUUAGCGGCGGACGGGUGAGUAACACGUGGGUAACCUACCUAUAAGACUGGGAUAACUUCGGGAAACCGGAGCUAAUACCGGAUAACAUUUAGAACCGCAUGGUUCUAAAGUGAAAGAUGGUUUUGCUAUCACUUAUAGAUGGACCCGCGCCGUAUUAGCUAGUUGGUAAGGUAACGGCUUACCAAGGCGACGAUACGUAGCCGACCUGAGAGGGUGAUCGGCCACACUGGAACUGAGACACGGUCCAGACUCCUACGGGAGGCAGCAGUAGGGAAUCUUCCGCAAUGGGCGAAAGCCUGACGGAGCAACGCCGCGUGAGUGAUGAAGGGUUUCGGCUCGUAAAACUCUGUUAUUAGGGAAGAACAAAUGUGUAAGUAACUGUGCACAUCUUGACGGUACCUAAUCAGAAAGCCACGGCUAACUACGUGCCAGCAGC
rnacentral:rRNA from 1 species